rnacentral:tRNA from 2 species
CCCUUGGUGGUCUAGUUGGUUAUGGCGUUCGGCUGUAAUUGUUACAAAUUGUUACCGAAAUGUCGCUGGUUCGAUUCCGGCCCGAGGGA